rnacentral:rRNA from 1 species
AUUGAACGCUGGCGGCAGGCCUAACACAUGCAAGUCGAGCGAGCGGCGGACGGGUGAGUAAUGUCUGAGAAACUGCCUGAUGUAGGGAGUUAACUACUGGAAACGGUAGCUAAUACCGCAUACCAUCAGAUGUGCCCAGAUGGGAUUGGCUCGUAGGUGGGGUAAUGGCUCACCUAGGCGACGGUCCCUAGCGGGUCUGAGAGGAGGACCAGCACAACGGGACCGGGGAAACGGUCCAGCUGCUGACGGGCGGAACAAGUGGGGAAGAUGGGACAAUGGGCGCAAGCCUGAUGAAGACAUGCCGCGUGUGUGAAGAAGGUCUUCGGGUUGUAAAGCACUUUCAGCGGGGAGGCGUUACCCGAAGAAGAAGCAACGGCUAACUCCGUGCCAGCAGCCGCGGUAAUAC